rnacentral:rRNA from 1 species
UAUCCUCUCAUCUGGAACGGAUUUGGGCGUAAGAGCUCGUAGGCGGUUUGUCGCGUCUGCUGUGAAAUCCGGAGGCUCAACCUCCGGCCUGCAGUGGGUACGGGCAGACUAGAGUGCGGUAGGGGAGAUUGGAAUUCCUGGUGUAGCGGUGGAAUGCGCAGAUAUCAGGAGGAACACCGAUGGCGAAGGCAGAUCUCUGGGCCGUAACUGACGCUGAGGAGCGAAAGGGUGGGGAGCAAACAGGCUUAGAUACCCUGGUAGUCCACCCCGUAAACGUUGGGAACUAGUUGUGGGGUCCAUUCCACGGAUUCCGUGACGCAGCUAACGCAUUAAGUUCCCCGCCUGGGGAGUACGGCCGCAAGGCUAAAACUCAAAGGAAUUGACGGGGACCCGCACAAGCGGCGGAGCAUGCUUAUUAAUUCGAUGCAACGCGAAGAACCUUACCAAGGCUUGACAUAUACGAGAACGGGCCAGAAAUGGUCAACUCUUUGGACACUCGUAAACAGGUGGUGCAUGGUUGUCGUCCGCUCGUGUCGUGAGAUGUUGGGUUAAGUCCCGCAACGAGCGCAACCCUCGUUUCUAUGUUGCCAGCACGUAAUGGUGGGAACUCAUGGGAUACUGCCGGGGGUCAACUCGGAGGAAGGUGGGGAUGACGUCAAAUCAUCAUGCCCCCUUAUGUCUUGGGCUUCACGCAUGCUACAAUGGCCGGUACAAAAGUCUGCACUACCCGCGAGGUGGAGCGACAUCC